rnacentral:tRNA from 2 species
CAGGUAGCUCAGUUGGUAGAGCAGUGGACUGAAAAUCCGCGUGUCGGUGGUUCGAGUCCGCCCCUGG